GAUAGAAGUAAAAGAGAAAGAAUUAAAAGGUUUAGAAACGGUACGGUUGUUGUUGUUGUUGAAAAACUUACAUAAGUCUAAGAAGAAAGUUAUUACAAAUACAAGAAAGCCUCCUUGGCCAGCGCGUGUCGCUGUGUCUGGUCAAGGAGGGCAGAGAGCGUAAACAAGAUGAAGAUACAGACAUACAUUUUUGUUCGUUCUCGC